GCUCUGGCUCCACACCGGCACGUCUUGCGCGGUUCCCCGCCCUUCCCCAGUAGAGGAUUAGGAGACAAAGGAAUACACUCAACACCAAAACUGAACCAAAUCCACUGUGGGCUUUGGAAAAAUGGAAUAUUGGGAAAAUCUCAACACCAGCCAUAGCCUUGAGUGACCAGACCCUCAGUCUCCCUGUUCCCUAAAUUGCAGUAAUUCCUCCUUGACAGGAUUGAUGUGGUGAAGCUCACUCAAUGUAGCCCCUGCAUCAGGAGAAUUCAAGCAGCACAAUAUCAGUCCUCAACCCUCUGAAAGUCUCAACAGCCCAAGACAAUGUUGGACACUUCCUUCUUCAAACUCAAUCUUCCAGGAUGGGUUUAAACACAUGGUGAUGCCACUCAAAUUGAAAUCUCCAGCCCCACCCUUCCUGAAGAGCUCCAGGCUCUGGUCAAUUUCCUAUUCAACAUCUCCACUUAGCCUUUCUAAAGGAAGCCCAAGUUCAAAUCCAUCUUUCUUGCUGCUGCAUCCCAGAUCUCCCACCUGAGGCCCUGCAACAGCUUACAAAACAGUCUUCCCACAUACACCCUUACUCCACUUACAUGCCUGGAAAUCUUUCCCAGACCUCUCUGACAGGGUCGAAUGCCCUUUGAUAUGCAGUUACCUUACCAGAACGUCCUCUGUGUACCUUACCCUGUAUGAUCAUUUGCUUUAUUGCCCAUCUCCUCUAAGCCAGAAGCUCCCGUGCCUUUCUGCUCUCCAUGUACUAGCACAGUGCCUGCUGGCGCACGGUUGACGCUCAAUAAAUAAUGAUUGACUGAAUGAGUGAGUGGAUGAAUGAAUGAAUGAUGGCCAACAUUUAAUUUCAUUCUAGGAUUCUUUUUGUAUUCAUGUUCAUAAGUCAAAUUGGCUGCAGUUUUUCCUUUUCUUACUGCCUUUGUCUGGUUAUACUGGUCUCAUAAAAUGAACCGGUAAAUGUUCCUUCUUUUUUCAUUUUCUGGAACAGUGUGUGUAAGAUUGGAAUUAUGUGUU
ensembl:lncRNA novel transcript, antisense to MSI2